AAGUCGUAACAAGGUUUCCGUAGGUGAACCUGCGGAAGGAUCAUUAACACUUUUCUUUGUUGGGUUUAACAGACCCACCAAUUAUCCUAUCCAAACUGAAGAGCUUGUGAGCAAUGUGCUUUUCUUUUCUUUUGCAAGACAAAAGUAAAGCUGGCUCCCAUUUUCUCACUUUUUCCUUUUUUCCAUUUAACAAACCCAAUCACACAAAUCCAAUUUGUGAGAUUGCAAACAAUCUUUUGCUAUCUUGACAAUUUCUAAACUAAAAACACAUAUUACAAAAAUGUAACCAAACAACUCUUAACAACGGAUAUCUUGGCUCUC
rnacentral:misc_RNA from 1 species